rnacentral:rRNA from 1 species
AUUGAACGCUGGCGGCGUGCUUAACACAUGCAAGUCGAUCGGUAACAGGUGUAGCAAUACAUGCUGACGAGAGGCGGACGGGUGAGGAACGCUUGGGAAUCUGCCCUUCAGCGGGGGACAACCCGGGGAAACUCGGGCUAAUACCGCAUACGCUCCACGGAGGAAAGCCGGGGACCGCAAGGCCUGGCACUGAAGGAUGAGCCCAAGUCGGAUUAGCUAGUUGGCGGGGUAACGGCCCACCAAGGCGACGAUCCGUAGCUGGUCUGAGAGGACGAUCAGCCACACCGGAACUGAGACACGGUCCGGACUCCUACGGGAGGCAGCAGUGGGGAAUAUUGGACAAUGGGGGAAACCCUGAUCCAGCGACGCCGCGUGGGUGAAGAAGGCCUGCGGGUUGUAAAGCCCUGUCGCAGGGGAAGAAUAAGCAUCGGUAUAAUACGCCGGUGCCCUGACGGUACCCUGCAAGAAAGCACCGGCUAACUCCGUGCCAGCAGCCGCGGUAAU